ACGUUUGUUUUGGAGUGCAGGCGUGAAUAGUCCUUUCUGUCCUGCUUUGAGUACUGCUGUUGGGUGCCUUGGGGGGACCUUAAGGGAGCUCGGAAGUUGAGACGUGGUGAGUGCGAGAUCACUGCCCACAAAGGGGAGGAGCAGGCGGAUGAACAGCCAGAGCUGCAAUGGUGGAUCCUCCUCCAGGGCUGCAUGGGACGACAGAUAGAUGAGGCUCUAGGACGGGCACAAAUGCUACCCGAAUGCAAACCACUCCGGAGAUCUGUAAAAGGACUGGCCCCGGACAGGAAGCACACUUUAAACUAGAGGCGGGGUAAGACUCGUGGGCCAAUCAAGGCUUCCGAACAGAACUGCCAUUCUGGCAAUGAGGCGGGGUCUUCCGGUUGCCUGCUGGAAGUUUGUUUUUGCUCUGCAGGAUUGAAGGGUUCUCCCUAUGCUGCUUUGAGCGCUGCUAUUGGGUGCCUUGAGGGGACCUCAAGUAAGCUCCAUUUUUGAAACAUGAGUCAAAGCCCCGGUGAAGAUUCUGUGACGGUUCAUUGUAUAAUUUAUGAUGAUGAAGAUUGAGUUGCAUUUUGCGGAAAAGAGAUGUUGAGAUAUCUAAGGCAUUGAGAAAUCUGUCAUGCAGACAUGCACACAGGGAGAGGGAGUACCCAAACUGAUGAGAACUUACAGGAAUUGGACCAUCUAAGCCCUUAGAAAGUGAAGUCCACUGUGUCUCAAACAAAGAUCUUCAUCCACAUCUUGAAGUUUGAAGUUUGGCCAAGAAUAUACAAAAUAGAUUCUCUUUCUCAGGAUGGCAAGUGUUCAUGACAUCAAUACUACCCAAGGCUUCAGAGUCAUUGGAUUGCAGGAUGCAGUGACUUAUGAUGAUGUGCGUGUGAACUUCACUGAGGAAGAGUGGGAUUUGCUGGAUCCUUCCCAGAAAAGUCUCUAUGAAGAGGUGAUGCUAGAGACAUACCAGAACAUCACUGCUAUAGGCUACAAUUGGGAAGACCAUCAUAUUGAAGAACAUUGUCAAAGUUCUAGAAGACAUGAAAGGCAUGAAAGAAUUCAUAUUGGAGAGAAACCGUAUGAACGUAACCAAUGGGGUAAAGCCUUUGCAAGUGACAAUCAUCUCCAAAUACGUAAAAGAACAAAUACUGGAGAGAAACCUUAUGAAUGUAAUCAAUGUGGUAAAGCCUUUUCACAACAGAGUAGUCUCCAGUAUCAUAAAAGAACAUAUGCUGGACAGAAACCUUAUGAAUGUAAUCAGUGUGGUAAAGCCUUGUCAUGUCAAAGAAAUCUCCAAUAUCAUAAAAGAACACAUACUGGAGAGAAACCCUAUGAAUGUAAUCAGUGUGGUAAAGCCUUCACACAUUACAAUAAUCUCCGAUAUCAUAAAAGAACACAUACUGGAGAAAAACCUUAUGAAUGUAAUCAGUGUGGUAAAGCCUUUGCACGUUACAAUAAUCUCCAGUGUCAUAAAAGAACACAUACUGGAGAGAAACCUCAUGUGUGUGAUCAAUGUGGUAAAACCUUUGCAUGGCAGUAUACUCUCCAAAAACAUAAAAGAAUACAUACUGGAGAGAAACCUUAUCAAUGUAGUCAAUGUGAUAAAGCAUUUUCAGAACACAGUAGUCUUCAAUAUCAUAAAAGAACACAUACUGGAGAGAAACCUUAUGAGUGUGAUCAAUGUGGUAAAGCCUUUGCUUGGCAGUGUAGUCUCCAUAUCCAUAAAAGAACACAUUCUGGAGAGAAACCUUAUGAGUGUAAUGAAUGUGGUAAAGCCUUUGCACAUCACACUAGUCUCCAAAGUCAUAAAAGAAUACAUACUGGAGAGAAACCUUAUCAGUGUGAUCAGUGUGGUAAAGCAUUUGCACAUCAAAAUAAUCUCCAAUAUCAUAAAAGAACACAUACUGGAGAGAAACCAUAUGAAUGCAAUCAAUGUGGUAAAGCCUUUGCAAGUCACAGUCAUCUCCAAAUACAUGAAAGAACACAUUUUAGAAAAAACCCUUAGAAUGCAAUCAAUGUUGUAAAGACUUUGGAUGUAAGACUAAUCUCCAAAGACAUAAAGGAAUAUAUAUGGGACAGAAACCUUAUGAAUGUAAUCAAUGUGGUAAAGCAUUUGCAACUCACAGUCAUCUACAAUGACAUAAAAGAACACAGAGGAGAGAAACCUGGUUAUUGUUUACAUAUUGACAUAAGGAGAUGCAAGUAUGUAUCAACUUGACAAGGGAUGGAUUGUGAUUGCUACUCUUGGUUUUCAAUAUAAGAUCUAAAGUGGAAAGCAUAGGUCCAGGCAUGGUGGUACAUGCCCUUGAACCCUAGGAGAUGAGCAUCAAGCAGAUCUCUGAGUUCAAGUCCAUCCUGAUACAGAACAAGUUUCAGGUGAAGAAAAGCUAAGGUCUAGGCCGGUGGAUACAGAGCCUUGCAGAUCUCUGAGUUCAAGGUCAGUAUAUAGAGCAAGUUCCAGGACAGCCAAGCUGAGGCAGUAAAGGAGUUGGAGAACAGAAAACUGGUGAUAAUGUAAUAGAAGAGGCCAUGUCCCAGGCCCAGAAAGCAGCAGAGCUCAGCAACUUUGUCCAUGUGGCUCUGACUUUAGAGGUAAGAAUAGAAGGGACUACUGGGAAAAUUGAAGCUUGUUAGCUGUGGAUGAGAAAUUAGAAGUGAUGAAGAAGAGACCAGCAUCAUUGAGGUGAAAUUUUCUAGGAAGUGUUUUCUGAGAGGACAAAGAAACUGUGUUCCAGAGAUAGCCAGGAUUGUACCUUGUGUUGCAGCUGAACUUGGUCACAUGUAAGAAUCAUCCAGGUGGUACUGGUUUUGAAGGCAUGACGGUGUCAUGAGGAGCAGCUGAGGCUUGGACCAAUGAAGGGAGCAUAAGUGAGACUAUCAGUGAAGCCUAGUUGCAGGAGAAGAACCCAACAUAUUGAAGAUGCCAGUCCAAUGGGAUGAGCAGAAAGAACAGCCCAGUAGAGUGGAGUCAACCAGAGCUUAGAGUGAUACAGAGGUCAGAGCUAGAGAAGUGACCUUAUCUCUUUGGAGGACUGCAGAAGAUCAUGUGUGGAUCCAAGACAUUGGAGCAAGAAGCUGUAACACUGAGGUUACCUUCCAGACCCCAAGAUCUUUGAGAUGUCAGAGCUGUGGGGUACCUGCUCAGGAAAACCAGCCAAAGAGAAAGAAUUGUGCUGCAGUUAACAAAGCAUAAAAGGAGUUGGAGAUCUAAAGAAUGCUUUAACAUGACACAUGGAGAUGCAGUUUCAAGAUUUCCAAGUUGACUUUUGGUUUUGUUUUCGUCCAGUAAUUCCUCAUGAUGACAUUUUGGAAUGGUGAAGUCUAUGUUGUGAAGUUGGAAUUAUAUGAUCUGCAUUUAGAUUUUUCUUUUUUAGGGGAUUACAGUUACAUUGAAUGAAUCUCAGAAGAGACUUUGACCUUUGGACUUUUAACGUAUUUGAGACUGGUAUAGAUGAUGGGGACUUUUGAGGUUGGACCUCGUGUAUUUUUCAUUAUGCAUGUUUAAAUAUGUUCCUUAUACAUUCCUGUACUCCAACAUGCUUAAGGGGGCCAGUGAGUGGAAUGUGGGAGUUUGAAUAUGCUUGUGACAGGGAGUGACUCUAUUCAGAGGUGUGACCUUGUAGGAGAAAGUGGAUAUCUCUGGGGGUGGACUUUGAAGCUCCACCAAGUGCAAAACAGACCCUCCUAUUCCCUCUCUGGAAGACAGUUUCUUCCUGGCUGCCUUUGGAUCAAAAUGCAGAACUCUCAGCUCCUUCUCCAGCAUCAUGUCUGCCUGCAUGCUGCUGUGCUUCCUCUGAAACUGUAAGCCAGCCCCAAUUAAAGGUUUGCUUUUAUGAGA
rnacentral:lncRNA from 1 species